rnacentral:sRNA from 1 species
UCUGUACAAAGUCAGAGAAAAGUCAGAAUAAGAAGAAGAAGAAGAAGAAGAAGAGAAAGAGAGUCAGAGACGACGACGGACGAAACGACGCUAUUCUUACGCUUUCUUCGAUCGUCGAUUUGAUUUUUUCCCUUCCUUCU